rnacentral:rRNA from 1 species
AACGAACGCUGGCGGCAUGCCUAACACAUGCAAGUCGAACGAGACCUUCGGGUCUAGUGGCGCACGGGUGCGUACCGCGUGGGAACCUGCCCUUAGGUUCGGAAUACCUCCCCGAAAGGGGUGCUAAUACCGGAUAAUGUCUUCGGACCAAAGAUUUAUCGCCUUUGGAUGGGCCCGCGUUGGAUUAGCUAGUUGGUAGGGUAAAAGCCUACCAAGGCGACGAUCCAUAGCUGGUCUGAGAGGAUGAUCAGCCACACUGGGACUGAGACACGGCCCAGACUCCUACGGGAGGCAGCAGUGGGGAAUAUUGGACAAGGGGCGAAAGCCUGAUCCAGCAAUGCCGCGUGAGUGAUGAAGGCCUUAGGGUUGUAAAGCUCUUUUACCCGGGAUGAUAAUGACAGUACCGGGAGAAUAAGCUCCGGCUAACUCCGUG